CUCUGUGGACCCCAAACAGCCCCAGGCACAGGGAUACAUAUCAAAAUAUUUGUCAUUGAUUGAGAUAAUGAAGUAAAUUGAAAAAGAUUCAAAGAUUUUGGCUUUGAGGUUUGGCUGGUGAUUCAGUGCCAAAUAAUAAUAUUUUUGUUGAGAGCAUUGGCGUUUUCUGGUGUAGAGGGCGUCAUAGUUGAGGUCUGGUAGGGGAUCGUUGAAAGAGGUGCUCCCGGAUUUUAUGAUUGGACCGGGUAUUUCAACAUUGUUCAGUUGGCGCAGCGGUUUGGGCUGAAGGUGCUCGUGAUGAUGGCUUUCCAUC